ACUUAGACAACUUCAUUUAAAAGGAAUGAAGAAGAUCAUAUCCAAGGAAGCAAUUAGAGGAAUCACAAAUCUGCUUAUGGAUGAAAGAAAAGACUGUGGAAAAUGUCAGAUUGAAACCCAUGAGUCAUCCUCAGCUAUUGGACCUCAUACAAAUGGUGUAGUAGCAAGGGAGAAACAGAAGUGUGUAUCAUUGUCCACUGCAGAAGCUAAG
rnacentral:lncRNA from 1 species